AUACGGAGGUGCGAGCGUUAAUCGGAAUUACUGGGCGUAAAGCGUACGUAGGCGGUUGGUUAAGUUAGAUGUGAAAGCCCCGGGCUUAACCUGGGAACUGCAUUUAAAACUGGCGAACUAGAGUUGAGUAGAGGGGAGUGGAAUUUCAGGUGUAGCGGUGAAAUGCGUAGAGAUCUGAAGGAACACCAGUGGCGAAGGCGACUCCCUGGACUCGAACUGACGCUGAGGUACGAAAGCGUGGGUAGCAAACGGGAUUAGAAACCCUAGUAGUCC
rnacentral:rRNA from 1 species